UUUUUUUUUCUAUAAAUAUCACUUGACUUUAAUGCCCUUCUGGAUUUCUUAAACCCAGCUAUGGUUUUGAGGGCUGACCAAAUGGCUGAUUAUUGUUGAGUGUUUUUUUGUUUGUUCCUUUGUCUUAAACUUGCUUAAAGUUUUGUUGUUGCUUUUGUUUCCAGACAGAUUCUCUGUGACCUCAGACUCUGGGUCCUCCUGCACCAGUCUCCAGAGUCCUGGAGUUACAAGUGUGUGACCCCUACGCCUUCCACCCCCACCCCACUACUUCUUUCGUUUCGUUUUUUCCAAGACAGGGUUUCUCUUUGUUAACAACUCUGGUGGCUGCCCUGGAACUCUGUUUGUAGACUAGGCUGGCCCCCAGCUUACAGAGAUCCACCUGCCUCUGCUUCCUGAGUGCUGGCCUAACUUCCCCGGCUGUUUUUUAAGACAUUAGUUGGUUUUCUCUCACUAUCAUCAAGAAAUAGUUGCCGAAUGGAGAGAUGGCUCCGCAGUUAAGCACACUGAAUGCUCUUCCAGAGAACCCAGGUUCCAUUCCCAGCACCCACAAGGCAAUUACAUGAUGCCCAGAAGUACGCACAGGCAAAACACACACAUAUAAACACACACACACACACACACACACACACACACACACACACACUAAAAAGAAAAUAUUUGAUAACUUAUGAAGAAGACUUGCUUAGGUUGGGAGUUUGUGUAUUUCGAGUCUUUGAUCAGAUGUGCUUGUUGCUUUGGGUCUCUGGGCCUCUGACAGUCUUUCUGGAUGUCGGUGACUGGACUUCAAAGCAAAGCAAAUUACUCCUUUUUUUUAAGAUUUUAUUUUUUGUGCAUUGGUGUUAGGAGGGAUUCAGGACCCCUAGAACUGGAGUCCUCUGAACAGAGACAUGUGGGUGCUGGGAAUUGAACCUGGGUCCUUUUUGGUUUUUUUGGUUCUUUUUUUCGGAGCUGGGGACCGAACCCAGGGCCUUGCACUUCCUAGGUAAGCGCCCUACCACUGAGCUAAAUCCCCAGCCCCUGAACCUGGGUCCUUUGAAAGAACAACCAGUGGUUAAGAAACACUGAGCCAUCUCUCCAGCCCCCACAAACUACUCUUUUCAUGACCAAGAAACAAAGAUAUAAGGAGUUGGUUCCUACAUUCUCUCUUGUAGUCAUCUCCCCAGUGAUUUAAGGACUUUAGCUCCCACCAAAGCCUCCACCACCUCCAAACAGUAGUUCCCCAGAACCUCAGAGCUUAGAUCUAACACAGAGACACCAACCAUCAAACCAGAUACAUCACAUACCAAGAUCAGUAGGAGGAAGAGGCCAGAGCGUGGUGGCACUUGCUUUUAAUCCCAGCACUCCGGAAGCAGAGGCAAGCAGAUCUCUGUGAGUUUGAGGCCACCCUGGUCUGCAGAGUGAAUUCCAGGACAGCCAGGGAUACACAAGAAAGAAACCCUGUCUUGGAAAAAGAAAAGAAAGAUUCUGAGAGUUCUACACAUGCCUACUACCUAGAACCAAUCUUUUAAUACAUGGGCCUGUAGGGGACAUUCAACAUCUAAGCUAUAACAGGCUAUCGAUACAUUUUUGAUUGACAGCCUAGCCUUUAUUGGCUGAGCUAUCUUUCUAGCUCAUGCUGUAGAUAUAGAACUCCUCGAUUUAAUUUUGUAGCUGUGUUGUUUGUAUCCAUCUAAAAAGUCAUUUAAUGCCCUCCAGCAAGCAUUCCCAGGGAGCCUCGUGUGUGUUAGGAUCCUAAAUAGGACCUAUAAAGACAUGGCUAUGACAGCAUCAUUGCUAUCCCUAAUUUGGGAUUGAUAGCUUAAUCGUAAUCAAUGUAAAUAUGAUGUAAAUGAGGGGAGGAACUAAUCUAACUCAAGAAAUCUAUAAGCAAGAUACUUGACCCAGGAUAUAGAGUUGGCGGUGCCAAACACUGUGCUGAGCACCCUCGUGUUAUAUGAUAAUUGUUUUAAUUCACUGAGAAAGCUCUGAGAAGAAGCCAGUACUGGCCCAGAUUAACAGGGUUUAGAUAUAGAAGAAUUGAAGAAUAAUUGAGGGAACUAUUUUAGGUAAGUAUUUUUUUUUUAAAAAUCACAAUGAACAAAAAAAGUCAAAUUCUAAAUAAAGUCAAUGGUACUGAGCAAAGGCUCUCUGCCAAAAUGAGCAAGGUAGGUGAGGGAAAAGGAGAGAAACAUGUUCACGGGCCCAGGGGAGAAAUGUAUGCCGCCACUGGCUGGUUAUUGCUGAUUGUAACAGGAAGUGAAAAUAAGGAAGACAAGGCAGGUAACAUGGUUGGCACCAGCCAGCUGAUCCAGAUGAAAACUGCAGAUAAUGUGGAGUCUAGGGAGAGGUCUUCAUCACUAAAAGGCUUGCUGUGCAAGCAAGAGGACCUGAGUUAGGUACCAACACCCACGUAGAAGCCAGGGUCUGCUGGACACUGCUCUGGAGAGGUAGAGGCAGGAGGAUGAGUAGGGCCAGCCACUCUGGCUGAAUCAGGGAGCUCCAGUUCAGUGAGAGACGCUGACCAAACCAAACCAAACCAAACCAAACCAAACCAAACAACCAAACAAGAAAGGCUAGAGAGUUGUUUUAGUACAUUAUGAUACCUGCCAUUAGGCCUGGACCCUAGUUCAAUCCCAGAGACACACAUGGUAGACAGAACCAAGCUUUUUAAAGCUGUCCUCUGAGAUACUCACAUACGCACCUUAAAUAAAUAAAUGUAAUACACACUUCUGUCAGGAGUGUGUGAUUUUACAUGGGUUACAAUUAAGAAAUUGCUCUGAGCUAAGUGAUAGUGCCACAUGCAUUUUUAUCCUAACACUCUGAAGGAAGAGGCAGGCAGAUCUCUGAGAUGCCAGCCCUGUCUACAGAGCAAGUUCCGGGUAGCCAGAACUACACAGGGAAAAGCCCUGUCUUAAAAAAACAAAAACAAAGGGUUGAUGAUUUAGCUCAGUGGUAGAGCACUUGCCUAGCAAGCACAAGGCCCUGGGUUCGGUCCCCAGCUCCGAAAAAAAGAAAAGAAAACAAAAACAAAAAAACACAAGAAAAUAAAUUGCUUUGAGUCUUAGAAGAGGCUUGACUUUGGGCUUUAGAACGAAGUAGAGACUGAAAGACUGAGGGGACUUUUGAAAUUGAACCAAAUGCUUUUGUAUUAUGAUAUGGCCAUGGGCCUGUAGGGGUCAGGGAGUGGAAUGUGGUGACUUUCCUGAGAAUGGUCUCAUAUGUUUGAAUACUUGGCUCCUAGUUUUCUUAUCAGUGCCCAGCUCAAACACACAAACUCUUGGGAAACAUGCUCAGAGCACAUCCAAGCUAUAACAUGCAUAUUGUCUGGGCCUACUUCAUAUUAAUUCAGGACAUAUAUUGGCACCAAAAGGUAAAAAUACAUUUGCAUCUCAAAUAUGACAGUUAUUUUGGUUGUUGAUAUCUGGAUGAUAGUAAAAUGAAAAGUAUUCUAAUAACAUACUGUGCUGUCUGGUUUUAUGUCAACUUGACACAAACUAGAGUCAUUUUUUAAAAGAAGGAAAUUCAUUUGAGAAAAUGUCGCCACGAGAUUAGACUAUGGUACAUUUUUCUUGAUGAAUGGCUCAGCUCACUGUGGGAGGUGCUAUCCCUGGGCUGAUGGUCCUGGGUUCUGUUUAGAAGGCAGGCUGAGAAAGUGACGAGGAACAUUCAGGAAAGCAGUCCUCCUGGCCCCUGCAUCAGCUCCUGCCUCCAGGUUCCUGCUGUGCUUGGACAGUGAUGUGUAGGUACAAGUGAAAUAAAGUCUUCCCUCCCCAAGUUGCUUACGGUCAUGGUGUUUUAGUCACAGUAAUAGAAACUCUAACUAAGACACACACUUAUUUUUAUGGCGUGUCGGCUUGAGCUAAUUACCCACACACACCUAGCUGUCAGACACACUAUUUCUGCAGUUGCCAUCUGUUGCCUCCACGUGUGAGUUGUCACAUUCCGUAUGUGAUGUGACUCACGGUCCUCAGAGAAGACUGCAUUUUGUUUCUCUGUCAGUGACACCCGUCCCUGUCUUCCAGGAAUAUAUGCAGACUGGCAAAGGCUCCAACCCUUGUCCCACCUAGACCCAGGCUCUGUUAUCCCCUGGGUCAUAACCUUGGCUGCCUAGCAUUAAUAAUAAUUAAUAAUAGUUGAGUAAAUGCUGGGCUCGACUGGCUUUAGGCCUUUGUCCUUUUCUCUUUCACUCUUGCUCUCUCACACACAAAUGAAUGCUUCCCAAAAGUUUUACUUUUUUUUCCUAUGUGUUAUAUGAACUUAAUAACAUAAAUAUAUGCAAAACUCCAAGUGCUUAUAAGAAGAAAAAACAUAUUGUAAAACAUCUUAAACGACACACAUUUUAUAAUCACAAGGGUAAUUGUGUUAGCUAGUAUCAAUGUCAACCUGACACAAGCUAGAGUUAUCUGAAAUGAGGGAACCUCAACUGAGAAAAUGCCUCCAUAGGAGCCAGCAGUAAGGUAUUUCAUUAAUUAGUGAUUGUUCGGGGAGGGCCCUGCCCAUUGUGGGUGGUGCCAUUCUGGGCUGGUGGUCCUUGAUCCGAUAAGAAAGCAGGCUGAGCAAGCCAGGUGAAACAAGGCAGUAAGUAGCACUCUUCAUGGCUUCUGCAUCAGCUCCCGUUCCCAGGUUCCUGCCCUGUUCAAGUUCCUGUCCUGGCUUCCUUCCAUGAUGGACUACAAUGUAGAGUGUAAGCUCAAUAAACUGUUUCUUCCCCAACUUGCUGUUUGGUCAUGGUGUUUUGUUGCUGCAAUAGAAACCUUAAGACAAGUUAGUACCAGGGUAAUUAGGCAUUGCUGGGACAGACCUGGCCAUGUUUUUGUGAGGAUUGUGGAAGGACUUUUGAACUUUGGGCUAGAAAAGUCAAUGAGUUUUAAAAGCAGUACAGAUGAUGGAGGCCUGGCUUGUGAAAUUUCAGAGGGAAGCAAUGACCCUACCAGGCUUUUUGUGUGAAGAAUCUGGGGUUCUGGUCAGCUGGGGCUGAAGAGUUGGCUGUGAUUAACAAGAUACCGGAACUAUUAAAAUGAAACCUCUGCUUUGCUGGAAUGCUCAAUGCUGAUUGCCUGGAGCUGAGAAAUUAGUGGUGAUUAAGAAGAGAUCAUCAUUGAGAUGAAUCUUCUGUGAAGUGUUUCUGAGAGCACACAGAAGCUGUGACCCAGAAGUGGCUGUACUGGCUGGUGUUACAUGUGAACUUGACACAAGCUUGAGUCAUCAGAGAAGAAGGAGCCUCAAUUAAGGUAAUGCCUCCAUAAGACCCAGCUGUAAUGGCCAGCUGUAAGGCAUUUUCUCAACUAGUGAUCAAUGAAGGAGGACCCAGACCAUUAUGGGUGGUGUCGUCCCUGCACUGGUAGUCCUUGGCUCUGUAAGAAAACAGUCUGAGCAAAUCAGGGGAAGCAAGCCAGUAAGCAGCACUCUUUCAUGGCUUCUGCAUCAGCUCCUGCCUCCAGGAUUCUGCCGUUUGUUGAAUUCCUGUCUUGACUCCCUUCAAUGGUGAACAGCAGUAUGGUACUGUAAACUGAAUAAACUCUUUCCUCUCCCACUUGCUUUUUGGUCAUGGUGUUUUGACCAUAACGAAGACAGCAACCAAGGUUAUACCUCAAGCUGGCAGCUGAACUUGAUAAUGUAAGAAUCACCCAGGUGGUACUGGUUUGGAAGGCAUAAAGGGGUCAUGAAGAACGGCCAAGUCUUGGCACUGUGAGAGGCCAGGAAAGGCCAUUGGUGAAGGUGCCACUUCAGUGGAGGUUGGGAGCCCAGGACGGAAGGAGGUCAUGCAAAGGAGUUGAGGUCUGGCACGGUAAAGAGAGCCUAGGAGAAGCUAUUGGUGAGGGUGCAGCCCAGUUGCAGCAGAAGACCCCAGCAUUCUGGAGAUGCUGGUACCAUGGUAUUAUAACCACAAACAGCAGUGGAAUGGAGUCAACCAGAGCCUAGAAGACAAGCUGUGUGUGCAGCAGAAGGCAGAGCUGCAGAAGUGACCCAAGUCCUUUGAAGGAGCCUAGAAGAUUAACUUCAAUUACCAACUGACAAUCCAAGCCAAGUCCAUACCAAAGACAAGACUAAGUACUGUCUCAGAUGCCAGAGAAACUGCUGUGGGCUGGCAGACUCAGCUCUUAUGCACAGGGGGCACCAGAAGAGUUCCACAUGCCCCAGACCUCCAGCCCCCAACUUCAAAUAUCAGAGAGGACUGAGAAGAAGUGGCCACCUCUGGAGUCCCGCAUCCUUUCUCUCUCCCACUCUCAAGGUUUGGUUGCAAGAAAGCAGGUGACGGGCUCUUCUGUCCUCCCAGUCUACUCUGCAACGGACCUGGCUCUUUGGCUGUUGCUCCUCUCUCCAUCGGCUCGUCAGACAUUGUCACCCUCGGAAAGCCUUUCUUCCCUGGUGACUGCUCCACAGGUACUAUCUAAAACGUUUUUAAAAAGGAAAAGAUAGUCAUGACUUUUUUGAGAAAGUUUUGUAAGUUAGAAAACUGCAGCGCACCAGGAAAGGUUUUCUAGUGCAGUCCGGCCCACAGCAUAUGGUGCUGACAUGCUCCCCCCAAUGCUUCCAGAAGCAAAACCUCUUACCUUAAGCUUGGACAAGAGAGGGCUGUGGAAAAGAAGAAAAACAUAGUUUUAAAAGUACAGCAUGCUUCCAAACAAAUGCCACUGAAACGACUAUAAAAACAAGAGCGUCUCUGCAUUCUAAUAUUAGCGCAGAACAUUCCCAGGGCUGAAAUGCUGCCACCGGCUUCCGUGGUCCAAAGGAGAGCUACAGCGUGCGCUCGUUUCCUCCAACAGCCAAUUGCUACUGAGAGGCCCCAAAGCUACAGGUGCUUUUUACACCCCAUAAACGGUUUAAAAUUUCACUUUGAAACAGAUUAUGGCAAAAGAGAAUUACGUUGGAAUUACCCAUGGACAAACAAAGUAACUUUCAAGUGUUCCGUUUUAAGGAAUUCCACUCUGACAGGCGUGGGUGGAUAAAUCCUAGCUUUAUUAUCACUAUACUUGGGAUCAAGAAACAGGUCAAACGUCUCCACGUAGAUAAGUGUGCAGACUGCCACGCAGUCAUAGGAUGAAUUGGCAAACGGCACAGCAGACUGACCGUGAGUGUGACAGAAUGGAACCCAGAAACAAGGGUGUACUGAGGAAUCUAGAAACAGCAGCAUUAUUCUAUGUGCUCCGUUUAUAUGAAAUCACAGGCCGUGUAGAGGAGAGAGGGGAACGUGGACUUGGUUCUUCAGUGAAGGUGCCUUCUGAGAGAGAGGCUAGAAUGUUCUGUCUUGGAUCUUCUUAGGAGUGCUAGUCACAAAGACUGUGAUAGGGAAAGCUUUACCAGGCUCAUCCACUGAACUAUAAAUAAGGAGACAUAACUUGGGGUACAAUGGUCUAAAGACCCCGUGCUCAUUUCAUGCUCAGGUAAGAAUCACGGGCAUGUACACCACACUAAUAAGCUGUGAUUUCCUUCAGCGGGGCAGUGUCUGCAUCGCACCACAUAUUGAAAGUAAAUAAAUUACCUUUACUUUAAAAUGUGUCCACUGUUCUAAAUAUGUAAGAGAUGAAAAUGUAAAGUAGAAAGCUAACAUGGGAACUUGCUAAGAAAACAAGUUAUAAUCCAGAAUCUGCCUAGCGCAGGAAAGCCACCCUCAGAGAGCUGAAUGAGCCUCUCCAUCUGAACCCGUAACGGCUCUUCCCAGGCUGGUCUCCCGCACAGUCAGCUCCCCAAGCAGAUGCUGUCUUUCCUGCUCCAGCGCUUUGGUUUACUGCCCAUUUCUCUGAAGAGAAGGAGACAAAGUUACCAGUGGAACAGAAAGUCCUUUAUCCUUUGUCCUGUGGACUGGGGCGCUGGGAAUGGGCACUACGGAAAUGCUAUCACACUCCUUUCACCUUCAGAGCUCUGAGCUGUCCAGUGAGGAAUUCAGAACAAAGAUAUGCAGAACAAAGAAAUAACAGCUUAACUAUGAUAAUUUAGUCUUUUUUUUUUUUUAAGAUUUAUUUCUUUAUUUACUAUAUAUAAGUACUCUGUAGCUGUCUUCAGACACACCAGCAGAGGGCAUCAGAUCCCAUUACAGAUGGUUGUGAGCCACCAUGUGGUUGCUGGGGAUUGAACUCAGGACCUCUGGAAGAGCAGUCAGUGCUCUUAACCUCUGAGCCAUCUCUCCAGCCCGAUAAUUUAGUCUUAAAAAUCUAGCUCCUUGACACACAUCAAGACACAGAAAGUACCUAGUAGAUGAACUUUUCCUUCAUUUAGGUUAAAUAUCACAAAUUGUGCUGUUCAGACCGUUCUUUAAAAGGCUACAACUUUUCUGAUGACAUAAAAAAAAAAAAAAAACCACUGGAAAACUGCCAAAGUAACAAAAAUGAAUAUACCGAUAUCCAUACAUUUAAUAAAAUUAAAAUAAUAAAUAAUGAUUAAAAUAAACAAGAAAAAGUCAUAAUGUACAACUUAGAUCAUCUGACUUUUCUGAUCCCUUAAUCAGAAAGGAUCAAAAUCAUCACUGUUUCUAGUUAGAAGGAUCCUCUAAGCCUAUGGAAACCAGGUGAGGUGAAAAUAAUUUUUUUUUAUUAUACUCGGUUUAAUUUAAGUUGAAAAUGUCAAGAAAACAAAGAAAUGGACCAUACAUUUCAAUAUUCGAUGUACUGUAUAUCUUCAAUCCACUCCAACUUACUUUAAAUAAAUUAUGACAUACUUACUCUUGAUGAGUUGUGCAAAUUUUAGCAAGCUGUUCAAAAUCUUCACCAUUAAAUCCCUUUUCUGAAUUCCUCAGAGGCUUCUUGGUGCUUGGCUGGACAGAUUUCCAUUUUGUUUCUAAAUUGAAAAAUCUCUGUUAGUCGCUGGCUCUUACAGGAUGUAUUCAGACGCCACUGUAAUAAUUAAUAUGCAGCUAGCCUCUCAAGCAACCCAAAGGUUAACACAACUAGCAAACAGAGCUAUGAAGAGCAAGAUACAGACGGUCGCCUUCCCUCUCCUUCCUUCUCUCUCCAGGUGCUGGGGCAAAGCCUUGCCCUUGGUCCCAGGCUCUUGGACACUAAGCUACACCCCUUUCGUCCCAGGCUCUCUGACACUGAGCUACAUCCCAGCUGGAGGAGCUUUGUGACAGUAACUUUGUAUCCUUUUAACAUGCAAAACCAGGUCAAUAAGCUAACUUUCUCAAUAGUAAGUUGUUACAUUACCACAGAUUCCAAGUUCCAGGUCAGUCUGUACUUACCCCACUGUUCCUGAAUGGCAGAAAGAUUGGCAAGCAAUUGCUCAUGAUACAGUCGUUCAAGCUGAAUGAAUUUCAUUGCUUUCUCAUCUGAAUAGAAAAUCUGAGGAAAAUAGAAAUGAAGACUCUCUCCGCUAAACCCCAGGUUUGCCAAGGAAAUGUCCUUGUGUACAAGAUAAGAAAUGUGGACCUGACCAAAAAGAUGAGGUGACUUUAAAUAUUUUUAAACUUAAGCACAUCUGACUUGAGGUUUCCUGGCUUAAGAGUAAGUGCAUCGUACCAUAUGCACGCAUGUAACAAUGAUGCAGAGGGGCUUGGGUUCCACACUCUCUGCACACAGAAUGAAAGGUUUUCCUUAACGACUGCACUUCUAGCAUUCAUUAGAGCCAUCUGAUUGGAAAGAGGGCCACAGGAGAUCUUGGAGUCUGUGUGCUUUCUUUAAUUUCUCUGCUUAGAAGACCCUGACUUUGACACCCUGCAGGCAAGUGUUUCUUCCCGGUUCCCUAACCCUUUACUUAAUUUUAAUUGGAUACUUUUCUCCCAUGAAUCAAAAGUAUCACAUGCUAAAUAAUGAAAACAUGACAUGGUCUUUGAUUUAAAAAAAAAAAAACUAAUUCACCACAGUGACUUUCCUAAUUAUCACGUAAGUCCAGCUUUUCAUUGUUGUCUUCUUAUGGCCCUUUGGCUUCCCAUCUGUACCACACAAACUUACUUCUUAGGAGGUCAUGAAACACUGUCCAACUGCAGCUUCCUCUGGGCAGUGCUCUAAAUGCUGACCCAGAAAAAACUGAGGAAGGGAAAGUUUAGCUUGCAUCCUUCCCACAAGCACUAAGAGGCUCAGUUCACUCUUUCCCUUAUCACCCUAACGAUCCUUGGGACCAUAAGGUGCCUUGGAACCAUAACGUGGGACCAGAAAAAGCAGCACAAGUCCUCUGCUCCCUCUGCCUAGGACUGAAUGCUGCCUAUUCAGAUUAUGUGAGGUCUACUGGAAAACAUCAUUUUGUUGGUUACUAGUGAAGACCUAAUCUUUUCUCUGCAGCAGCAUACAUCUGUGUGUCCUAAAACAUUUCUAUUAGUGAGGAACCACUAACAUAUAAAUUUUACCUAAUGAUGUAGUUGGAUCUUAACAUGCUAUUCUCUAAACAACAAAACCACCUCCCGAUGUCUUUCUCUGUCGGCCCUGUCAUGAGCAGUUCAGGACCAGGCUUGCGGUGUGCAGUCAGGGUGGGGGUAGGGGGGAGUGGUUACCAUGCCGUCCAGCGUGCUCUACUAUGUGAACGUUUGACUUGUGUGCUUAAGAGCAAGAGAAUCUAACAGCUUUUUAAAGUUUUCCUUCCCAGCAGCAUGUGCUUCCCCCAUUCUCUUGAACAUAAAUAUUUAAUGUUGGUAGACUUAGGGCUUCUAUAUGGAAAGUCACAUUUAGAUGGCUCCAGGGGAUUUUCUGCAGUGACCUGUUUCCUCCACUUAGCUCUCUGAGGUGGUUACAAGGGCACAUCCAACUGCCAAAACCUGCUGAAACCAUUCAGUGUUCGCAUCUUGUUGCACGGACCUCAUCUUAAAAAAGAUGGUUCUUCUAUGAAUUUCUAUCUGCAAUUAAGAAAGGAUACAGUCCUCUUCCUGGAAAUAGGUCUCCGCUACCUGUAAAGACAGAAGAAGAAAGGAGUAUUUGAGCAAAAGGACGAGCUUGGGAGACAGCAAGAUCUUGUAAGGCUUUGAUAGGCUACUAACAACAAUGAUUUCACCACCUCCAUGAGUCAGGGGAACGUUGUAGGCGCAGGACACAGUCCUUAGGUCUUGUCAAGCAAGGUUAGCACAGGCAUUCCUCAGCCUCCACACCACCAUGUCCUUUCUAGUCAAGUCCUAGCAAGUUUCGCUUGGACCCUUAAGUUUAAAAAGGAAGAAUGCUUAGGGAUGAGGGGAAGGCUGUGGGCUUACGAAGGUACAGCAGGGGUCCACAGGUUAAAAGAUUAUUAUUAUAAAUUAAGAGUUAGAAAAGGGAGCAGAGAAGAUGGCUCAGUAGGGGAAGAUGAGAGAUGUGUCUGCCUCAGCUGACAACUUGCGCUCAAUCCGUGUGAUCCACGUGGUAGAAGAACAAGUUUCCCUACCUUGUUCUCUUACCUCCACAUGAGCACACACGCACACACUGCAGAAAUGCACAUCACUGUUCCCUUUCUAUUUUAAAGACUCCCAGCUCAAAGCCUCAUGGGACUCUGGUUUUGGUGUGCGUGUCUGUUUGAGACUAUGCCUCACAUAGCCCAGGUGGCCUUCAAUGCCAUAUGCAGCUGAGAAUGACCACAGCUCUCACUCCUACCUUUCAAAUGCUGGGGUUGUAAGCAGAACUGUAAGGUAAGAGUAUGCCUUGAUAUUUUUGUUUUUUGAUUUAUUUUUAGUGUGUUUGUGUGUGCAUGCAUGUGCAUACACUAGAGUUUGAAAUGAGGUGUUUGCAAUUGUUCCCCUUUAUUAUUGGUAUUAUUUUUGAGACUGGGUCUAUGUAGCCCAAGUUGGCCUCAACCUCACAGAGAUCCACUUGCCUCUGCUUCUUGAGGGCUGGGAUUAAAAGGUGUGACCAUGCCCGCCCAAGCACCUUCCUUUCUGACUCAAGGUAUUCCAUAGAAUCUGGAGCUCAGUGGUUGGCUACACUGAGAGGCCAGUUAGCUCUGGGGAUGUGUGUGUGGGCCUGGUCACCACCAAUGUUGCCGUGUUUGUUUACUUGCUUGCUUGCUGGAAAUCUGCCUGGUUACUACCACACCUGCCCUGCUUGCUGCUGCUUGCUUGCUGCUUGCUUGCCUACAGGGAGGUGGGGAUCCAGACUCAAGUUUUCAUGCUUGUAGAAGAGGUACUUUCCCAUCUGAGCCACCACUUCAGCCCUGUUUUUAAAAUAUUUAUUUCGAUUUUAGUCAUGUGUAUGACUGUGUAUGGUAUGUUCAUGUGAGGGCAAGAGCCUGCACAAGUCAGAGGCAUCUGUCUCCUUGGAGCUCAGUUAUAGGCAGCUGUGAUCCACCAGGUGUAGGUGCUGGUAAUUGAACUCAGGCUCUCUGGAAGAGCAUUACACUCUCUUAACUGCUCAGCCACUUUUCUAGCCCUGUGCCUAGACCUAUUUAUUUUUGGUACAAGAUCUCUUGUAGCACAGGCUUGCCUGGAAUUCACUAUGUAGCCAAGGAUGACUCUGAACUGCUGAUCUUUCUGCUUCUACUUUCUGAGUGCUAAUUAUAGGCCUGGUGUUGUUCUGCUAUUUUAAAAAAAGACCCAGCUAGCGAUACAGUGCUUGCCCAGCAUGCUCCAGGCUCUGAAUCCAAUCCUAGACCCAUCAACACAGCUUAGGGAUGUAUGCAGCUCAGUGGCAGUGGGCUUGUCUAGUGUGUGUGUGUGUGUGUGUGUGUGUGUGUGUGUGUGUGUGUGUAGGGGGUCACAACAACAACGGCAACAACAAAAGGCUUCUCACUUAUCAGUUUCAUUCUAAAGGAUCUUUAAACUAAAAAAAGAAAAAGAAUAAAAAGGAUAAAAAGGAAGAAUGCAGGCGUGCACUUUAACCCCGGCUACUGAGGAUAAGGUGGAACAGUAGCUUGAGUCCAGGAGUUCAGGGCCAGCCAGGACAGAAUGAGCCCUGUCACAGACAGAUACAAUUAAUUAAUUAAUUAAGAAUUUCUUUGAUUAAAAAACCUGAUUGAUUAAAACUCCUGAAAAGUCUCCAGUGCACUUCUGACCCUCAGUCUCGCACCUGCUUCCGUCCUCCGUCCUCCUGGCCUUGCAAUCAUAGUGUGCUGUGGCGGUCAUCUUCAACCAAAUGUUCACUAUUCCAGCAGUAUGCCAUCCAGAUGCCAAUGUACAAAAUGAGAGUUCCAGGGACAGCCUCCUCACACCAGGCUUGAUGACAAGCACCUUUGCCAACUGAGCCACCACACCAGAGCUUACACCCUCAGAACGGCUUCUUCCCUGCUUCCCAGGGCCUGCCAUGACAAAGAACGAUAAAGGAGUUGUCAAACUUAUACCCAGCAGUGAGCAGGAAGAGAAAGCUGAGGCAGAACCACAAACAGCCGGUUAGAGGAGAGAGCCCAGAGCCAAGCUGGAAAGCCCAGAAAAGGACCCCAAGCUAAUCCAGUGAAGAAGUGCUACCCAUCUGCUUUCCAGAGUCACCGCCAUCAUAGAGUUUACCAUGUCCAGUAUCUAAUAAGUCUCAAAGUGUACAAAGAAACUGUAGAAUGACCUGUAGAAGGAAAGAAAUCAAAGGAUGGUAAAUGUUCCUAACACCAGGCCUACCAAAGAAAGUAGGUUACCAGUCUCAAAAAUGCUCAGAGAAGCAAAGAACAAAAACAAACAAACAAACAAAAAACUAUAGGAAACAGGAAAGCAAAGCGGAGGAAGACUAGGAGAGAGAGACUGCAAAGGGAAUUACCAGCUAACACACAUGCUCUGUUGGGCGUGGCUUGAGUUUUGGAAACAGACGCCAGAGAAGACUGUGCAAGCUAUGAAUCUAAUUACGGCCACUGAAUGAAUGGAACCAUUUUGGGCAAUGAGUGGUUGAUUUAUGUUUUACAUUAAUAAAAGUAGGAAAAGAAAAAAUGCGUUCAGUCCUGUGACUUUGCUACCUUCUCUGAGGUGCUGCAUGACUUACAACUUACUUUUCUUCAAACUGCUGUAGCCCAGAAUGCUGUGUCUAUCUCAGCCAUAAUCCUGCAGAUGAUCAGGUGUAACAUAACCAUGGGUCUAUAGAGCCCCUGUCCUUGACUCUUCCUCCCAGACUUCUCACUGACGCCAGAAGAUAGAGUGCUCUCCAUUUAAAUAUCACCCCUGUCUAAACACACCGAAGAAUUCACAGCACCAGGACCAGUAUUAUGCGUAAGAUAAAUCUGAAACAGAGACAAAGUCCUUGCGGCCUAACCUGGGGUCAAAGGGAUGUAUUAUGUAAUUAUGGCAUAAUUAUCACUUGCUCCCUGUGGCUGAGCCUCCUCCCUCAGGCUACACACAGACUCUGCCCUCAGAGGGAGCGGGGCACAAGCAGAGCUGUGCUGAUGAGGUCAGGCUAGGGUCAUGCUAUAGUAUUAACAUGUGGUAAUAAAGUAAUUAAUGGUAAAGAACAAAGAAGGUGACUCACACAGGCCCUGGACCUGUCACCAGGCUUUAUUUUAGGUAGCAUUUUUUAUUAUUGUUUUUGAGACUAGAUCUUCUCACCACACAGCUACAACUCUGGGAAUCACUGUGUAACUCAGGUUGAUCUUGAACUCAUGGGUGAUCUCCUGCCUCCUCCUCAGUGCCGGGAUUACAGGCAUGAACCACCUGUCAGCUUUAGGUGGCAAUUUAAAAAAUGCCUUAACACCUGGACUGUUUGGAAGGCCACACCUCUCAUCUGCUAAAUUCUCUGCUUAUAAACUGCAGUCAGGGUAGACUCUGGACAACAACGUCACACCUCUAAGAGAAAUCCUAUUCUUUGCUGGUGAAUGUCACCGAGGGCAUUCUCCUUGGGCAAAAGUUGCAAGCCUUUUUAUAGCUUGUUUGCCUAGCUGAGCACUUAAGAGAAUGGCUCUAAGUGAAAGCUCCAUAAAUCACAGUGAGCCAGGCCUGGACCAGCAUCAAGCACCGCUUCCUUCAGCUAGGCUUGUCCUGAACUUAAAGAUCUUACUUAUUUCUUUCAAGUUCAGGGUUCAUUAAAUCAGACACAUUAUCCUACACCCAGUGUUUAGUGUUUACAGCUACACUGUGGAUUGGAAAAGCAUUUCACAAAAUGAACUUUAUGAAACUUGAAGGGAAUUUGACAAACGCUUGUCACUGAGAGCACUCGUGGGUCAGUCUCUCCAUCGUGAACCCUGAAGGUUUCCAAGCAGGUGACCCCCAGUAGCAGCACCCAUGCCACCACUGUGCUCCCCCAGCAGCCAUGCCCAUGCCACCACUGUACUCCCCCAGCAGCCACACCCAUGCCACCACUGUGCUCCCCCAGCAGCCACGCCCAUGCCACCACUGUGCUCCCCCAGCAGCCACGCCCAUGCCACCACUGUGCUCCCCAGCAGCCACGCCCAUGCCACCACUGUGCUCCCCCAGCAGCCACACCCAUGCCACCAGCCAACUCCCUGCUAUUCCCUCCAGUUCGGCCCCUUUCUAGAGCUUGUUGCAAGCUAUUAUCAUUUUGAAUUCAUGGCACUCUUAGUACACAUAAAUAUUGCCAGGAAUUAGGCUCUAAAUUAUGUAGAACAUGCCAAUUAGCACCAAUGUUGGGAAUCUCUAAUUUUCCUCUUAGACAUUUGAUUAGCUAUUCUACAUUCUAACAGGUCUUAUUAAAAACUAAAAAUAUGCAAGGGGUUUGCCCAAGCAUGCAAUUAAUUAGUGAUUCGAAUUCCUAAGCCUUAAAUUAAUUAGAGACUUUUAAAUUUCUUGUCCACAAAACAAUUCAAGUGCCAAAGUUUCAUAUGAAAUUAAUAGUUUUCAGUUCUGACCCAGGCCUGGUUAGUAUCAAAAUGGCUAAGACCUACCAGGUUAUCAAGGUCGUCUGGUUCCAGGAACACUACGUUCAUCAGCCGUCAAAUACAAAACGUUUCCUGGUUCUCCAGUUUACAGGAAGCUGAACAAGACUCUCAAAAUUAAGCUACCGUCCGAGGAAGUAUAGGACCAGGAAACGAUGUGGGUAAAGGCUCGGCUGUGCCAGCCUGGAGACCUGGGUCCAAUCCCCAGACUCCACGUCGGGAGAAAAGCAAAGCCACUAAGUCCUCUGACCUCCACAAGGUACCAUCUGCACUCGAAUUAGGGAAUUAAACAGGGUAUUUAAUGAGUAGUUCUCUCUCUCUCAACAGAGACAUAGGCACAUGCUCAAAUUUGGAAACUUAAAAAUAACUGUUUGCAGAAAGAGGGAGAGACUUAAAAUUUCCUUAAAAGGAUUUCCCCUUUUAUUUUUAUCUAUUAUUAUUUCUAUAAUUCUCAAAAGUUUCCUGACAAUAGAUUAUCUUUGGAAGAACAGAAUCAGAUGAGAAAGCAAGAUUUAGAAAGCCAGGAGUUGGGCUGGAGAGAUGGCUCAGGGGUUGAGAGCGCUGACUGCUCUUCCAGAGGUCCUGAGUUCAAUUCCCAGCAACCACAUGGUGGCUCACAACCAUCUGUGAUGGGAUCCGAUGCCCUCUUCUGGAGUGUCUGAAGACAGCUGCAGUGUGUGUGUGUGUGUGUGUGUGUGUGUGUGUGUGUGUGUAUGUGUGUGUGUGUGUGUAUGCGUGUGUGUGUGUGUAUUAAUAAAAAAUUUUAGAAAGCCAAGAAUUACAUCUGAAGAAAAACAAAGAGAAAUACACGUAACAACACCUUAUACAGUUCCUAUAAAUCGGGGUACGAAUCGUCCUUUAUCAGGGAUCUUUAGGUUUCAUGGAGCUACAGACUAUAUAGCUACCCCCAUAGUCUUCUCAAAAACAGUUGCUGGGACGUAAUUUACAUGGCUUACAAUUCACCUCCUGAAGUACAGAAUUCAACUGCUUUACCAUCUAGAGUGUUGUCUACUGUGCACAGUCCACAUUUGUGGCAUCUUUUAUUAAGCAUAAUUAAUGCUUUGAAGAUUAAUCCUGUGGCCUGUAUCAGUACUCUAUUAUUAUUAUUUUUUCCAAGAUAGGGUUUCUCUGUGUAGCUCUGGCUGUCCUGGAACUCACUUUGUAGACCAGGCUGGCUUUGAACUCAGAAAUCCACCUGCCUCUGCAUCCCGAGUGCUAGGAUUAGUGUGCGCCAUCGCUACCCAGUUUAGUACUUUAUUUUUAAUUGCCAAAUAAUAUUCCGUUGUAUACAUGUACUUUGAAUUGUGUGGCUCUUUCCAGUGUUCAUUUAUGAGUGUGUGUGUGUGUGUGUGUGUGUGUGUGUGUGUGUGUGUGUAUGUGUGUGUUUACAAUAGAGUCAAGUAUAUAGAGUAACCAAAUAUACUUUUGUCCUAUGCGUGAUGCUGGGAAGGAAUUAUCUUAAACAAAGAUAAAACAUUAACUCUUUGUGGGGCUCAUGAUUCAGUGAAAGUCUGGAGUAAAAAAGAGAAAACAAAAGAGGACCACUUAGAAAACACCGUAACACAGUGAAGCCCAUUUGUAGCACUGAAGGACCGAGAAGAGCUGACUUGGUGAUCCAGGCCUACAGUCAACACCAGUAGCUGGGAGGCUGAGACGAAGGACUACCAUGAAUCUGGGCUACACGUUGCUACAGGAUAGUGUGGGAUUCUCAGGGCUGGCAUGAGAGCUCAGUGGGUAAGGGCGCUUGCAGCCAAACCUGACAACCUCCCACAUGGUGGUGGGGGAGACCAAUUCUUCCUCUGAUCUUUGCUAUGCACAUGCACGGGACAGACACACAUUACAUAAAUAAGUACAAGCAAAACCAAAAGGCAGACAGACAUCUGAGAACCCAAAUGGACAUACCCUUCCAUUAAGCUGGCAUUAAUUGAAUCCUCUAAAAUCAAUAACUCAAUAUUCUUAAGUAUAGCCCCUAAAAUAUCUGCUUGUCUUGAUAUGUUUAUGAAUUAUCUGUCUAUUUUUACAUAUAAUUCAAUAAAUACAUAAGUUUGGAGCUAUAAAUUUCUUCAUUCUUACCAUGUAUGAGAUCCCAUUCCUUAACUAAGCAUCAAUUUACUGGGACUGAAAGUAGUUGUGGGCAGGAUCUGAAAAGCUGCACCGACAACUUGCUUAGAUGCUGGUUUUUGAGAGAAGGUUUCUCUGUGUGGCCCUGGCUGUCCUGGAAUUCACUCUGUAGACCCGGCUGGCCUCAGAUUCGUAGAGAUCCACCUUCCUCUGCCACCCGAGUGCUGGGAUUAAAGGUGUGGGUGCCACCACUGUCACACCAGCUUCAGACGCUGUAUUUUAGAAGCAUGCCUGAAAUCCUGGCCCAGUAACUAGCAAGGGGCAUGCCUGAGUGUGGGAUGAUGUCACAGGUGAGGCAGGUACAAGAUAGAAUGAAGCCUGUCAUUGGACGAGAAGGAAGGAUGGGCGGGAGAAAAGUUUGAAGGAAGAGGAGACGGGAAUGGAACAGGAGGAGAGAGAGAAGCCGUGGACAACAUGGACAACGUGGACAACAUGGAAGCUAACGUUAAGAUCCCACGCUGUACCUUUACAGGUUGUUAUAAAUGUUCUUAAGGGAUGGAUGUGUACUGGACUUUGUAUGUUUAGGUGGGCAAUUAUAUCUUAUCAAUUGGAUCAGAGGUUAUUGUGUUGUGUGUUCUUGUAUGUAGUGAUUUAAGUGUAAGAGAGUGUGUGGUGACUAGAGACACUGGGUCGCCGCAGAGUUGGGAUGUGUGCUUCUGGCAUGGAAACCUGCCUUGGGAACUAGAUGGGUAAAGAGACUGCUGACGGCUCAGAGAGAGGCCUUCGGCAGUGUGAUAUGGGAUGGAGCAGAGCGGGUGAGAGGCUUUGCUGACUGAGACUUGCUAGACUAUCUAGCAGAUAUCUUGGGGCACUGUGGUGCCGGACCUAGCGGGGAUAAAAGACAGCAUUUUUAUUUUUUAUAUUUUUACAGCAACACCUGAGAUCUCUGUCAGUGGAGAUUCCCAGCAUCCCUCACAGGGACACUGCUGAAGCCCUUUGCCCUGUCCCUUGUGUCUAUUCCUCAUUGGCCUGGCUUGUUUGACACUUGCUGUGCCUCCCACAGUUACUGUCAUGUUCGAGCCUGUAGGGAAGGUACAAACCGGUUAUUAUAGCACGACAUAUUUGUGAUCUGGGCCUUGCCAAUCUCCCAGAUCUCCAGCACGCUCUCUGCUAUUUCCCUCCACUCAUCCCUUUCACUGUCCUCAGCCAAAGAAAAUACGGACACUAACACACGGGACGCACUCUCCUCAUGCCGGGGGCUGCUCUGACAUAUUUCAUCUUUAUCCUCAUCUCCUUUCUUGGCCUGCACGUGCCCUAUCUUGGCUUAGACAUCAAUUCCUCAUGGAGGCUUUCACACCUCUUCCUGGACACUGCAUGUUUUAACCCUGUCAGGGCUUCCUGUGCUAGACUGCCCGUGAGCUACUUAGCUGUCUCCCCGGAACAUGAGAAAGGGAAAGGCAGGUUCACCAGCGCUGAAGAGUACAUGUCACAGAAAACUCAACAAACACUCGCCAGCUAAGGGCCUCUGUGGUUCUAGAAAUUAAUGUGACAGCAAUAUUUAUAAUGUGCAGACUUUUCCAGUUAUGUAAAGCCAUUGUGCUUUAGUUAAAAUAUCUUCAGGGUGGGCAGAAUAAAGUCUCCAAAAAUGUGAUUGUGUCCCGAUUCCAUGAAUCUGUAUGUCAAAGAGGAACUAGGGCAGCAGAUAGAUCUAAGGCUGCCCAUCAGAGCAGAGAGGUUCUGCUGGAUUGCCUGGUGGGAGGGACCAUGAGGACCCUUAAAUACGGAAGAGGAAGGCAAAGAGUCAGAGGAGCAUCUGUGAAGACUGCAACGACGGAGGAUGGGAGCCACGCACUGGGCUAGAAGCUAGAAAGACAGAAACUGUCUAGAGUCUCUACAGAGAACAGAGUUGACUGGCAGUCUCACGUAGCCCAGAGAGCAAGGGCAGACUCCUGACCUAUACAACUGUAUGUUAGAUACUGUAUGCUGCUUUGAGACCUAAAGUUGGGGAAAUUUACUAGGGGAUCAUGGGAAAUUUUUUUUUAAUGAAUAUAUCUUGGGCUGGAGCCAAGGCUGAUGGAUAAAGUGGUUGUCGCACAAGCAUAAGGACCAGAGUUUGGAUCCCCAGAAUCCAUGUGUGACUCCGCAUGAACUCGGAGGACACUUAGAAAAAGUCUCUGUUAUGGUCAAAGUCAGACAUGUAAGAUGCAAUUGGGGGCUCAUAUUUUACAUCAUCGCCAGUCGUUACCUUAGAUGCCAGUAACAUGCCAGUGGGUCCCUUCUACCUAACAGUAAACCUAGGCACAAGUCUCUGUACCAGCAACAAGUAUAUUACAUAUAACGAAAUGUGUAUUACAUAUAUGUGCCAAUACACACAGGCACACACACAGGCACACACACACAGGCACACACACACACACACACACACACACACACAAGAGAGCUAAGGCAGCUAAGAAACUCAGACUAAUUUGUUAGUUCUGAGCUUUCUAAGACCUGGCGCCCAGAACACUUUGGCACAGUGAGCACAGGAAUUCAUAAGCACUGGUUUCCUGGCUACCUCACGCACAGGACUGCUGUGCUCAAGACAGUACUGCAGGAUGCGCAGUACCAGCUUCCUUGUGAUAAGCAAAGACAGGGCAGGAACUGAGUUCCGGGUCUCAGAUCACAAAAGUAGCAGCAGCAGGCAGAGCGUUGCUUCAGACCAGAGCUCUCCUCACUAACGCUCGACUUCAGGUUGCAUAUCCACUUCCAGGUCUUGUCUUCCACCAGCUCCCAACCCUCCGGGUCUUAGUGGAAAGGGUAGAAGUGAAAACAGCAUAGGGUGCUGACCUGGGGGCGGGGUCAGUUUAGAGGAGACUCCCACACACUCUCUACCUAUCUCUUGCACUGUUUUGUUUUGUGCUUGGAUGCCAUGGUGACUGGCGCUGAGGAAACACCAAAUGUUGUUGUGGCAAUCUGUAGACACUUCAUCUGAACUUGUCUGUUAAGUCAUACAAAAUUCAUGAGCCACUGAUUGCCAGGGGCUAGGGACAGGAGGCAUGGGGAGUGACUGCUAAUGGGUUCAUAGGUUUUUGUUUGUUUUUUGAAACAGGGGUCCAAUGCUUCAGAGCUCUGUGGCUAGAAUAAAACCACUGUGCCAUAGGCUUUAAAAGGCAAACUUGGUGGUUUGUUAAUUAUAUCUCCAUUUUUAACAACUUGCUAUUAUAAAGGAACCAGACAUUAACGAACGUUGGCGCAGGAACAGAGAAACUGUAUCUCGCCCAUAUUUUAUUAGGGAUAUAAAGUGGUGGAGCCUCAUUGGAAAACAGUUCACCAGUUAAACAUAAUGUUACCUAUCAUGAAAAACCAUCUCUCAUUGAUAAACGAGAGAAAUAAAAGCAUGUUCGUAGAGGUACCACUCACAGUAGCCAAAAACUGGAAUAACCAACACGCUCACAGCGCGCACAUGAGUGCCCGAGAAACGUGCUUCCUCCGUGAAAUGGAGCACUUCUUGGCCAUAAAAAGAAAGGGACUGUAAAUAGAUUACAGCCAGCGUGAACCAGGGAAAUGUGUUACACGAAAGAACCCAGCUGAAAAGCCCAUCUACAGGAUUCCAUUGACAACAGAGUAUCCAGAGAGGACAGUCUAUAGAGAAAAACAAAUCAGCAACUGCCUACAAGAGGGACGGCUCUGAGAAACCGACUGUGAACAGGGAUGGGGCUCAUGGGGGUUCUCGUGUUUUGACAUGGCUCUGUAGUCAGCUGGAGCUCACUGUGUAGCCACACUUGGCGAUUCUGUAAUUCCAGCUCUCAAAUGCCGGGAUUAUCCACCGGGAUAGGUUACAGUUCUUACAACAGCACUGUCGGACCGGAGAGACAGACAAUGUGCCUUGAAGGACAGCUUAUCAAAUAAAUCUAAUACACACAGCACUGUUAUGAAAAGUGUAUUCACACCCCUUACCAGAUGAAUAGCCAAGUUAUGGGUUAUCUUUACUAGAGCCAAAUUAUGAGUUACCUCAUCAAAUACGGGAUAAUCACCAGGCUACAUGAGUGCUGGCAUGUUUGUAGACACGUGUGUACAGGUAUAUGUGUGCAGGUAUGUGCACGCAGAGGUUGGUAGUCAGCGGUUAAGGCUGGGUGCUUUCCUUACUCUUCAUUUUAUUUCCCCAGGCGGGGUCUCCUGCAGAACCUGGGGCUUGCUAAUUCAGCUGGUCGGCAUAGCCAGUCGCCCCUUUCUUUUCCUAAUAGUACUAGGGUAUGUGCAGGCCUCCAGACCAAGCUGACAUUGUGUGGGUGCAAGGGUCUGAACUCUGGAUCUUGUGUUUGUACCGCAGGGACUUACUGCAUCUACUGAGCCAGGUCCCAGCCCUGGAGUUUGAUUGUUGACCCUAAACUUUAAAGCUACAAAUGAAAACCAGGAUGUAGAGUAACAACGUUUCUUAUCAGCCCAAGUACAAGGGAGCAGAAGGGAAGAGGACACAUUCCCUUAAUUCACUAGGCCUCCUGCAGGCAUUGCUGGCCUGGGUAAAGUGAGUUCCAGUAAGGACUUCUAGCCAAUAGCAUGCCAGAACUGUCCAGGCCAGCAUGCCUCUGACGAAACACCACAAAAUCAAUCAAACAAACAAACAAACAAACAAACAAACCCCACCAUUGAUGGCUUUUUCCCACGAGUGCCUGGUGAUUCCGACACAGAGCUCCAGGGCUGUAUUUUACAUGACAAACUAUGUUCUGAAGAAAUCUGAAUUACUUUGUAACCAAAGAUAAGCGGAUAUUAAAACCAGGUGCCUUACUCAACACUGGUACAUGUAAGCUACUAGGUCACUUGGAGAGUGAGGCAGAAAAAUCCUACAGGAGGUUGUACUAGCCCAGACCAUCCUAGGUCAGAAAUCAAAGCCAUGGUGAUGCAGAAAGAAAACGUAGGUCAGCAGAUUAAACAGUUCCUAAUUCCUCUACAGACUCUGACUUCUGCAGGGACAAAUGCUAUGCAGGAACCACUCGGUGGGACUUACAAGUGCUGCUGCAGAACCACAGGAGAAGCACAGCAGUAGAAAGGUUUAGUUCCGUUUAAGGAGAUUUGUUAAAGACAAUGCGAAGGCCUCACC